GAUGAACGCUGGCGGCGUGCCUAAUACAUGCAAGUCGAGCGAACAGACGAGGCGCUUGCUCCUCUGACGUUAGCAGCGGACGGGUGAGUAGCACGUGGAUAACCUACCUAUAAUACUGGGAUAACUUCGGGAAACCGGAUCUAAUACCGGAGAAUAUAUUGAACCGCGUGGUGCAAUAGUGAAAGACGGUUUUGCUGUCUCUUAUCGAUGGAUCCGCGCCGCAUUAGCUAGUUGGUAAGGUAACGGCUUACCAAGGCGACGAUGCGUAGCCGACCUGAGAGGGUGAUAGGCCACACUGGAACUUAGACACGGACCAGACUCCUACGGGAGGCAGCAGUAGGCAACCUUACGCAAUGGGCGAAAGCCUGACGGAGCAACGCCGCGUGAGUGAUGAAGGUCUUCGGAUCGUAAAACUCUGUUAUUAGGGAAGAACAAAUGUGUAAGUAAAUAUGCACGUCUUGACGGUAACUAAUCAGAAAGCAACGGCUAACUACGUG
rnacentral:rRNA from 1 species